GACGAACGCUGGCGGCGUGCCUAAUACAUGCAAGUUGAGCGAUGAAGCUUGGUGCUUGCACCAAUUUGAAGAGCAGCGAACGGGUGAGUAACGCGUGGGGAAUCUGCCUUUGAGCGGGGGACAACAUUUGGAAACGAAUGCUAAUACCGCAUAACAACUUUAAACAUAAGUUUUAAGUUUGAAAGAUGCAAUUGCAUCACUCAAAGAUGAUCCCGCGUUGUAUUAGCUAGUUGGUGAGGUAAAGGCUCACCAAGGCGAUGAUACAUAGCCGACCUGAGAGGGUGAUCGGCCACAUUGGGACUGAGACACGGCCCAAACUCCUACGGGAGGCAGCAGUAGGGAAUCUUCGGCAAUGGACGAAAGUCUGACCGAGCAACGCCGCGGGAGUGAAGAAGGGUGUCGGAUCGUAAAACUCUGUUGGUAGAGAAGAACGUUGGUGAGAGUGGAAAGCUCAUCAAGUGACGGUAACUACCCAGAAAGGGACGGCUAACUACGUG
rnacentral:rRNA from 1 species